UCCCAGGUGGCUCAGAUGGUAAAGAGUCUCCCUGCAACGCAGGAGACCCAGGUUCGAUCCCUGGGUUGGGAA
rnacentral:tRNA from 1 species